rnacentral:rRNA from 1 species
CGGCAGCACGGGUGCUUGCACCUGGUGGCGAGUGGCGAACGGGUGAGUAAUACAUCGGAACGUACCUUAUCGUGGGGGAUAACGCAGCGAAAGUUGCGCUAAUACCGCAUACGCCCUGAGGGGGAAAGCGGGGGACCGUAAGGCCUCGCGCGAUUAGAGCGGCCGAUGUCUGAUUAGCUUGUUGGUGAGGUAAAAGCUCACCAAGGCGAUGAUCAGUAGCUGGUCUGAGAGGACGAUCAGCCACACUGGGACUGAGACACGGCCCAGACUCCUACGGGAGGCAGCAGUGGGGAAUUUUGGACAAUGGGGGCAACCCUGAUCCAGCAAUGCCGCGUGAGUGAAGAAGGCCUUCGGGUUGUAAAGCUCUUUUGUCAGGGAAGAAACAGCAGCUCUAACACAGACUGCGAAUGACGGUACCUGAAGAAUAAGCACCGGCUAACUACGUGCCAGCAGCCGCGGUAAUACGUAGGGUGCGAGCGUUAAUCGGAAUUACUGGGCGUAAAGCGUGCG